GCAGGCGGUCUGUCAAGUCGGAUGUGAAAUCCCCGGGCUCAACCUGGGAACUGCAUUCGAAACUGGCAGGCUUGAGUCUUGUAGAGGGGGGUAGAAUUCCAGGUGUAGCGGUGAAAUGCGUAGAGAUCUGGAGGAAUACCGGUGGCGAAGGCGGCCCCCUGGACAAAGACUGACGCUCAGGUGCGAAAGCGUGGGGAGCAAACAGGAUUAGAUACCCUGGUAGUCCACGCCGUAAACGAUGUCUACUUGGAGGUUGUGCCCUUGAGGCGUGGCUUCCGGAGCUAACGCGUUAAGUAGACCGCCUGGGGAGUACGGCCGCAAGGUUAAAACUCAAAUGAAUUGACGGGGGCCCGCACAAGCGGUGGAGCAUGUGGUUUAAUUCGAUGCAACGCGAAGAACCUUACCUGGUCUUGACAUCCACAGAAUUCUGCAGAGAUGCGGAAGUGCCUUCGGGAACUGUGAGACAGGUGCUGCAUGGCUGUCGUCAGCUCGUGUUGUGAAAUGUUGGGUUAAGUCCCGCAACGAGCGCAACCCUUAUCCUUUGUUGCCAGCGAUUAGG
rnacentral:rRNA from 1 species